rnacentral:rRNA from 1 species
UACAGAGGUCCCGAGCGUUGUUCGGAUUCAUUGGGCGUAAAGGGUGCGUAGGUGGCGUCGUAAGUCGGGUGUGAAAUCUCGGGGCUUAACUCCGAAACUGCAUUCGAUACUGCGGUGCUUGAGGACUGGAGAGGAGACUGGAAUUCAUGGUGUAGCAGUGAAAUGCGUAGAGAUCAUGAGGAAGACCAGUGGCGAAGGCGGGUCUCUGGACAGUUCCUGACACUGAGACACGAAGGCCAGGGGAGCAAACGGG